UAAUUGUUUUUGUAGUUGAAUA
rnacentral:tRNA from 1 species